CUUCAGGCCUGGUUAAAGCUGUUCGCUUUGUUUACUUGACGAAAUUUUACGAUUAGCCUCUUUUUCUCCAUAUUUGAUCCCAAAAGUACUCAACAGCCUUCUCUUGUCAUAUAUAACCUGCAAAGCAUAAAAAGCGCUAAUCAGAGCAUUUUUUUUAUCACUUUUACCAUUAAAACUAUACAAGAAGGUGCUUAUUUAGGGCCUAAUUAUAGUUAAAUUCACAUAUUAUCGACACCCCACACUUAAACCUUUGCUCAUCCUCGAUCAAGUUAAACCCCACUUCUAGGCCUAACCGUUCGAUGCAUUGCCCAUUUUUUUAUGCCACACCCGCCAUUAUGAAGGAACAACCUAAGCAGUGCAGUAGUCACGCCUGAGAUGAAGACUCUAACACCAUGACACACUCGUGCUCACUCUAGUUACUCAACAGAGGUUAAAAUUCAUUUUUUUUCCUGAGUCACAUGCCCUCACAUCACAAUUCUGAGAGAAGUUUAACAUACAUAAAAUUCAAGCAACAAGGAACCAAAAUAGGAAGAAUUCACUCACUCUCAGCAAAGAACAUUCACAUGCCACACAGAUACACCAUAAGCUUGCCUCUAUUGUAGUACAAUACUAAUCGAAUUGUUCAGUCAACGAUCAAAAGGUCUUUAUUUGGUUGUAAUGUAGGCUAAUGGAUGGGUAGGAUAUAUUUGGAUAUAGUGACAAGCCUCCCUGAGCACUUCUAAUACACUCUUUUUUUUUAUUUCAAUUUCCAUGCUCAGCCCACUUGUUCUUCUACAUUUUAGUUCAUAGGUGACCCUCACUUUUCUUUAGGUUCAACUGAUGUUUUUGCUUUUUCUUUCUUUUUGUUUUGUUUUCUUCAUUUAUUUCUUGAUUUUACAAAUCCAUUACACCCUUUAAGUUUUUCUUUCCUGAUUCCCCCUUUUCCUACUUCCUUACCACCCCACACUUAGACUUUUAUAUGUUCUCUAGUAAUUCAAGUGCUUCUAGGAGGUAUAGGUUCAAACAGUCAAAUUAUCCGAACACAUGGAUAUAGGUCACUAUUGGGUUAUCAAAGAACAGGCUUCAGGCUCAAAUGGGUUAAUUAUGGCAAUAUAUACAUGUCGAUUCACAAAUAUAUAGGCUACACAAAGAAAUGCCUCAAUCAUCAUUAAAAUCAAACAACUUCUAUUUGUUUUGCAAACACACAGGGCAAGUUAUAGGUAUCACAUGCAAGCAUAGAAUACAAGUAAUAGCUCACACACUUGUCAUGUAACUCAUUCUGAAUCAGUUUAUCAACACACUCAUAUGAGCAUUCAAGCCAGACAAGAUGUGCAAAAUUAAGACAUAGAUUUACGAGUCUACAAACGAGCCUCGACGUCGCACCCUCAAGUUCGUUUUAUUAUUUGCAGGUGUAAACAUUAAGGGUUGCAUUCUAGCCUUCGCCCAUUUUGGUCCAAGAGAGUCCUAAGGUCCUAAAACUACAAAAGAAAAAUAUACCUAACCCGGUUCAAGAAAAUCCAUUGGAAAAGAACCGCGGUCAAAAGAAAAAUCAAGGGAGAAUUACUAUAAUACCUAAAAAAUAAAAAUAAAAUAAAA
rnacentral:lncRNA from 1 species